GUCAUGGCUUGGUGGCAAAGCAUCUCCCUUGCAUGCAGAACUUCCCAGGUUCAAUUCCCAGUGUCUCCA